GAACCCGGAAGUUAAGCCCUCCAGCGCCGAUGGUACUGCAUGGGAGACUGUGUGGGAGAGUAGGACACCGCCGGAC
rnacentral:rRNA from 1 species